AUUGAACGCUGGCGGCAGGCCUAACACAUGCAAGUCGAGCGGAUGAAGGGAGCUUGCUCCUGGAUUCAGCGGCGGACGGGUGAGUAAUGCCUAGGAAUCUGCCUGGUCGUGGGGGAUAACGUCCGGAAACGGGCGCUAAUACCGCAUACGUCCUGAGGGAGAAAGUGGGGGAUCUUCGGACCUCACGCUAUCAGAUGAGCCUAGGUCGGAUUAGCUAGUUGGUGGGGUAAAGGCCUACCAAGGCGACGAUCCGUAACUGGUCUGAGGGGAUGAUCAGUCACACUGGAACUGAGACACGGUCCAGACUCCUACGGGAAGCAGCAGUGGGGAAUAUUGGACGAUGGGCGAAAGCCUGAUCCAGCCAUGCCGCGUGUGGGAAGAAGGUCUUCGGAUUGUAAAGCACUUUAAGUUGGGAGGAAGGGCAGUAAGUUAAUACCUUGCUGUUUUGACGUUACCAACAGAAUAAGCACCGGCUAACUUCGUG
rnacentral:rRNA from 1 species